AAAAUAAAAACCAUUUGAGAUUAAAGCAGUACGAUUGAAGUUCCGAACAAUAAUUAUGAAGUACUUAAUAAAUUAAUAAUACACUUGCAACAUUUUUAAAAAAGUUUUUUGCCUCUGAAAAUAUUAAAAAAAGGUGAACCUCGCGACGGCUGAUAGAUUAAACGUUGUCAUCAUAAACUCGAGUUCCGAUAAAGAGGAAAUCAGGAAAAUGGAAGAAGAAAUAAAACGGAAGAAAGAGCAAAGAAAACACAAAAAACAACUUGAAGAAAUGAAAAGUGGGCUCUUACAUACUUCGCACCCUGAAGAGGGCACUUCUUAUUCUUCCCCAAAGGUAUUGUAGUUUUGGAUCUGCAAGAGCAUACUUUCAAAUCCAUGUUAAUUGUAAUUAACUAAUCCAGUGUUAAUUGACAAUUGUAAUAAGUUAGAUGUGUUAUAAGUUUAAGAAAACAAAGUUUUAUGUAACUUGCCUGCAGGGUUCGAUAACAAGCACGCAGUAUUUUUUUUUCUUCGAAAUUUGAAAUUUUUUGGGCAUCGUGUUGUUUUUUGCUAGUCAUUAGGCUUUCUUACAUAAUUUUUACAAUAAUAUCGCCAAACCUUAGCAUAUUUUAUAUUUCUUUUGCAAGACAUUGGUUUAAAAAAAAUGCUUGAAAGUUAUUUCGCCCUUGAAGUAUAGUCUUUAUAGUCCGACUAAUCCCGCUUCAUAACUCGGCAGAAUUAUAAGAUGACGUCAUCAUUUUUUGGAGAACACAUAAACGAAUAAAUUUUGGUUAACGAC